rnacentral:rRNA from 1 species
AUUGAACGCUGGCGGCAGGCUUAACACAUGCAAGUCGAGCGGAGCGAGGGUGCUUGCACCUUAGCUUAGCGGCGGACGGGUGAGUAAUGCUUAGGAAUCUGCCUAUUAGUGGGGGACAACAUUCCGAAAGGAAUGCUAAUACCGCAUACGCCCUACGGGGGAAAGCAGGGGAUGUUCGGACCUUGCGUUACUAGAUGAGCCUAGGUCGGAUUAGCUAGUUGGUGGGGUAAAGGCAUACCAAGGGGACGAUCUGUAGCGGGGCUGGGAGGAUGAUCCGCCACACUGGGACUGAGACACGGCCCAGACUCCUACGGGAGGCAGCAGUGGGGAAUAUUGGACAAUGGGCGGAAGCCUGAUCCAGCCAUGCCGCGUGUGUGAAGAAGGCCUUUUGGUUGUAAAGCACUUUAGGCGAGGAGGAGGCUACUUAGAUUAAUACUCUGGGAUAGUGGACGUUACUCGCAGAAUAAGCACCGGCUAACUCUGUGCCAGCCGCCGCGGUAAAAC